ACUGAAGUAGGGUCUCUUGUAGCUCAGGCUGACCUCAAGUUUUGCAAAACAGCUGAAGAUGACCUUGAACUCUAAAUCUUCCUGACUCCACAUCCCCAAGCUGGGAUCAUAGGUUUUAAUUUUAGGGAUGUGCUAGAAAGAAAGACGGCAUGGUGGCUAAGAACAUAUCCUGCUCUUCCAGAAGACCUGAGUUCCAUCCCCAGCACCCACGCUGGUGGUUCACAACCGCCUGUAACUCCAGCUCCAGAGGACUCGAUGCCUCUAUAGAUACUACAGUCCUGUCACGUAUCCACCCCACAGACAAGCACAAGUUAAAAAUGAUUUUUUUAAAGUAGGGACUGGAGACUUGACUUAACAGUUAAGAGCACUGACUGCUCUUCCAAAGGUCCAGAGUUCAAUUCCCAGCAACCACAUGGGCUCACAACCAUCUGUAAUCCAAAGCUCUCUCUGUUUUCUGAUAUAUAUAGAGUCACACUGUGUGUCUGGCCUGACAGGCCUGGAUCUCACCGUGUUGCCCACACUAGCACUUGCUUUCUUCAUUUCUCCCCUGUUCUUUGCCACUGGCUCUUCCACUCCACUGUGGGAAACAAUAGGUGUGUGUGAGUGUGUAUGUGUGAGUGUGUGUAUGUGUGUGGCAAGCUCAUUAUACUUUUCAUUGUGAGAUAAUAAACUGGCCUGGAACUUACUGUGUAGCCCAAGGCUGUCCUUGAACUUGUAAUUCUGCCUCGGUGUCUCAAGUGCUGGAAUUAUAGUCAUGAGCCACCCCCAUCCCCGCUUUACCU
rnacentral:lncRNA from 1 species